AUAACUCCAUCGUAUGUGAGUACGAGUCUUAGUCUUUAUAGAAAAACAUGGGGAAGGCUUUUUCCAAGCGACUGGUGACUCUGGCUAUUUCUUGCUCAUCUUUCCUUUGUUAAAACCAAAAAAAAAAAAAUUAUUCUCCUACUCUCUCCCUCUGCUACUCCACUUAAUCCUUUAGUUUUCUCUGAGCUUCCGAAUCCUGUGGUUUUUGUUGAUACAAUGGAUCAAGAGAAGGAGGUGAAUGGCGUUGUUGGUGGUGGUAUUGAUGAGACAGAGAAGAAGACUUUGGUUCAAGGCAAAGCUGAGGCCUUAGAGAAGUGUCUGGAAGAGAACAAAGGAGACAACACCAAAUGCAAGGCUAAGGUUGAAGCUUUCAGAUCAUCUUCCUCUCCAAAAAAACCCUCUAAGUCUUUAAGACUACGGAGUGGUUUGUUGACUGAUGUUUGAAUGGAUUAGUGGGAAUCCCAUUCUUCUUCUCCAAAGUGUAAACAGUUGUAGUGUUGGUGUACAAAAUUGGGAAAUUUUAUUUCAGAGUUUGUUGUUUCAAA